GCCGCUGUAGCUCAGUUGGUAGAGCAUCGGACUGAAAAUCCGUGUGUCGGCAGUUCGAGCCUGCCCGGUGGCA
rnacentral:tRNA from 1 species